UACGGGGGGAGCAAGCGUUGUUCGGAUUUACUGGGCGUAAAGGGCGCGUAGGCGGCCUGUGCAAGUCAGUUGUGAAAUCUCCGGGCUUAACUCGGAACGGUCAACUGAUACUGCUCGGCUAGAGUGCGGAAGGGGCAACUGGAAUUCUUGGUGUAGCGGUGAAAUGCGUAGAUAUCAGGAGGAACACCGGUGGCGAAGGCGGGUCUCUGGGCCGUAACUGACGCUGAGGAGCGAAAGCGUGGGGAGCGAACAGG
rnacentral:rRNA from 1 species